rnacentral:lncRNA from 1 species
UUCACAGGGAAGAAAGUCUGGGCUCCUUUCUGCAUGAUGGCUGCCAUGUGCUGGGGUGCCAGCAUAGCGACCACACCCUUUCUUCCUCUCCCAGACCGAGAGCAGCAAGGGCAGUACCACUGAAGCUGCAAUGGCAGAGGGACUUUGGGUUGUCUCUGGAGUUUCCUCCCUGGAGAAAUGCAAAGCUGCCACUGACUGAAGUAUUCAGGCUGGGGCAGAGUGGUUGUGCUGGGGGCCCAGGUGGAGAGGCCCUCCACGGUGAGGAGCAGCUGAGGCACGGACCUGCAUCGAAACAGACUGGCCGCUUUUCUGUAAGGCAACGGAACUAUGCUGAGGGUCCAUGUUAGAUUCUAAUCACUGCUUUUCCUCUGGAGUCCGAGGGUAACAGGAGAGAGGACUGUGUAGCAGCAAACAUGAGAGCCUGUCUGCUGCCUCUGGUAGCUGCGUCUCAGGGAAGUGCAGAGCUGUUCCCCGAUGGAGAGCUCAGGAGUGGUUGGGGUGGCUGCAUUACGGUCCCAGGCCAGUGGGCCGUGUCCAGAGAGGUGCAGUAGAGGUCGUGUUGCUUCCUUGAUGAUUCCCAGUGCGUCCUCCUGGAAGAUCCAGUUGAAGAGCUAGUAUUUACUCAACACUCUUCUCUCUGUGAGAGCGGCCCACACUAGUUGCUCCUAGUCAUUUAUCUUGGCCGGAAUCUUCUCUGUUCUCUGGUUAUCUCCAUGUCUGCCCCCUGCCAACACUGACACAUUAAAAAAAAAAAAAAAAAAAAAAAAAGAUGCCUUGGAACAGUUCCAGAGGAUGAAGUUUUUUUCUCACUAUUUAUGGGAAACGGGGAGCUUCGCAGCCAAGCUCCUCUUCAGCAGCAGCACAGACCCCUGCCUCUUGCCUCAUUUCUCACUUCCACCCUGGAAGUUGCAGAACACGCAUGUGCACUGCACAGGCCUGUGAAGGUGGGAUCAGCACGUCCUGCCAGGCACCAUCUCCAGCGCAGGAUACUGGAGCUCCCUGUUGAGCAGUGCAGGUUAUAUAGAAUAGGUUAGGAGUUAGGGCAUAGGGCUUGGGUUAGGUGUUAGAAUCUACAUGGCUGAUUCUUGCUUACACUGUUGAAUUUACUUUUGAGGACUAACCUGAAAAAUGGUUUCUCAGAUUCCCUUGAAUCACAACUUUACAGAUAUUUUUUGACAUUUUGGCAGUAACAGUUUUUAUAGUGAAGGUAAUAUAAAGAUCAGGAUGAGAUAAUACAGUCACCAAUAAAAAUAUGAAAAUUGUGAGCUUGAGAAAGCUGACUCUGGGGAUUGAGAACAUGCUUUGAAAAUAAGACCAGCUAUUAUACAUUUAGAUGUUAAAACUGAAUGAGAUACAGAAAUCAAUUUGAAUUUUUGGGUGUCAAGUUGAUAUACUUCAAGUGUCUAAUUGUUUUCUAAUUGACUAUAAGAUGAUUUUAUUUUUCAGAGAAAAAUACUGUUGAGAAAACAGAGAAAGAUUUUCUUUUGCUGCUAUUUUUUGCUAUUAGUUUAGAGGAGCUGAAGGUGGCAAAGUGAUAAAAGAGUGCCUCAGGAUUCACACAAAACUUAAUAGAUAUUUGACUCAUAAACCCACGGUGUGGUAAACCUAUUCCCAGGUCAGAAUACAACAGUCUUUGAGCUAACUUUCUAGUGUGUAUUACACAAAGCUAUUUCUUUUCUUAUGCUCUUUCUAGCUGGGAGAGUGCACACAGUAAGAAUUACAGUUCCCACUUUACAGGGAAUUGGGGCUGUAACCACCUUCUGAUAGUUGCUUCUAAUUAUUUUAGUAUGAAAAUGAGUUUUUCAAAACAUAUCAUUAAAAAAAUAUUACAUGUUGUAAAAAGUCAACCUGUACAUAAAUUUAAAGUGUUCAUUCAUUUACUUAGCAAUUAUUUGUUGAGUGCCUAUUGUAUCUCAGGCACUGUUCUGGUCCUGUGAAUACAUCAGAAAAUAUAUCCAACAAAAAUUCUUAUCUUUGUGAAGCUUACAUUGUAAUGGGAGAAGACAGAUAAUAAUAAAAUAGUAAUAAAUUAUAUAAGAUGUUUGGAGUGAUAAAUCCAAUGGGGAAAAAUAGAGCAAGCUAAGAGGGACUGGGAAUACAAAGGCAGUCGGGGAGAUUACAACUUAAAUGAGGUGGUCAGAUAUUACCCCAUCUAUAAAGUGAUAUUUCAGCAAAACUUUAAAGGAAAUGGGAAGAUGAGUUAUGAGGCUAUCAGGGAAAAGAGAAUAGAUAACAGCCAGUGCAAAAUACCUGAGGUGGCAGAUGAUGGUGUAGCAGGAACCAUGAGGAGGUCAAUAUGGCUCAAGAGGGCUGAAUGGGAGAAGUAGUAG